rnacentral:tRNA from 1 species
GCGGGUGUAGUAUAGUGGUAAUACAUGACCUUCCCAAGGUCGAGAUGGGGGUUCGAUUCCCCUCACUCGCU